GAUGAACGCUGGCGGCGUGCUUAACACAUGCAAGUCGAGCGAAGCGCUUUACUUUGAUUUCUUCGGAUUGAAAAGUGUUGCGACUGAGCGGCGGACGGGUGAGUAACGCGUGGGCAACCUGCCUCAUACAGGGGGAUAACAGUUAGAAAUGACUGCUAAUACCGCAUAAGACCACAGUACCGCAUGGUACAGGGGUAAAAACUCCGGUGGUAUGAGAUGGACCCGCGUCUGAUUAGCUGGUUGGUGGGUAACGCCUACCAAGGCGAUGAUCAGUAGCCGGCCUGAGAGGGCGACGGCCACAUUGGGACUGAGACACGGGCCCAAAUCCUAACGGGAGGCAGCAGUGGGGAAUA
rnacentral:rRNA from 1 species